GUCGUCGGGACUUCCAAGGGACAUCCGAUAAAAUCAGAAAGAUACAGAGAAGAUUAGCAUGGUGCAACGAUGAUACUUUGAUUGAUCAGAACUUUAUACUACCUAA